GUCGAUUUGGCGCAAUGGCUUAGCGCUUACGCCUCCUAAGCGUAGGGUUGCGGGUUCGAGUCCCGUGAUCGACG